UUGUGAAGAGCCAAGAGAGGCAGAAAGGAGACUGGCACAUCACCUAGUUUGGAAAAUAAUCCCUUGAGUGGUGCUGUCUUCGAAAUAGCCAGUCUCUACAGAGCUUGUCAAAGUAGCCUGGACAUAAAAAUGAAUGCCAUGAAAAGCAGUUGCUGCAGAACACAGAUUUUCCUAUGUGUUUACUUUGGCAACAUUUAUUGACUGAAUAUUUUUAGAAAUUAUUGCGAUAUUGAGAUUCAAGCUUGGAACACCUCCUGUAAUAUGUCUGAGAGUCAGGAAACGAGUGAAUUGAAUCUCCCUUCCUGAUUCUUUGUUUUUCAGUUUUCUAAAAAAAACACAUGGUCACAAAGCUUUAAUUGUUUUUUAAAUUUUCCUAAUAUUUGAAGCUUAAGGACAUAGCCAAAUUCCCAAGCUAUAUUAAGACGAAGGAAAGCAGUGUUAACAAUACAGCUAUAAAAGGUAUUUGACUAAAGGAAGAAAAAUUUAGAUAAGAUUUUUCUAACAGACUAACUAAAAUUUAAAAGAAAAGAAAAAGUUUCCGGAUUGAAGCCCUAAACAAAUGAUCAAAACACCCUUACGCUCUCCCACUGUGGAAAAAUUAUCUACUUGUGGACUGUCCAGUUCCUUAGAUUGGAAAAACAAAAUAAAAAAGCAAAAACAGUGGGCAUUGUAGUGGAGCUAAGCCAAUGUGGGAAGCGCUUCUGGUCAUUUGAAUGAGAAUGGAUUCCGGGGGUUAGUGGCACUCAUGUCUUAUUUGACCUGGUUAUAUCUGCAGUGUCCAUUUGGGGACCUACGUCUCAACAUAUGAAUCAUAUGUGGGAACACCGUGGCUCCGCUACAGUUGGCUGGCCUGCUUUGAUCGGGUGGUUGGUAAAGCAGAGUCUGGAGUUUGAGGUCCGACCACCCGCUGGGAGUUUGCGAAGCCAGCGCGGCAAUUUUGAGUGGGAGGGAGUCGUUAACGCCCCACAAAGUGCGGCUUCUUUCUGAACCUCUCGUCCAGGCCCUGCGGGCUCCUGGUAGCUAGCUCUUGGC
ensembl:lncRNA